rnacentral:lncRNA from 10 species
UUGAAGCUCACCGGUUUCAGAAGCCUGCUGGAUCAUUGGAAAUGCAUUGAAAUGAAUUCAUUGUCCAUGUGUUUAUGGAUGACUUCUGAAAGAAAAAUAGCAAUGUUUGACAUAAGGCCAAGAAAUAGACCAAACUUCCUCAGAACGGAAUGUGAUUUUAGCAAGCUUCCAAAAUUCCAGUUGCUCAUUGAAGCUUAGUGAAGAUAGUCAGACCUCGUGGGAUGGAAAUAGAGGCUGAACAGCACACAGAGAUGCAGAGCCAUCCUGUGAAUAUUUUGGUCUAAGCUGGGGGCUCCCCUUCUGACAUUAGCAUCUAUUAUCUUCCUGGCUGAAUUCUUCCCUAAAGGGCGCUCGGCAUCCCUAGGUGGUUGCCAGUGUCAAGGCAACCUCACCAACUGUGAAGGUAUCCUGAGCUCCUGGAACAGGCAGAAAAGAAACCUGGCAGGAAGAUUUGGAGGUGGCUGCAAGCUGGCCUGACUUCUGCAGUGAAACAAGUCCCAGGAGCUGGAGGUACACCAUGCUGAGCUCCUGUUUCCUUGCAAGAUAACAGGUGUUCAGUGCCCCAAAAGGUGUUUCUUGCUUUGUCCUGUGACUGUGGACCACCUCUUCCCUGGGCAAUCCAGAGAGCUCUUCCACCAUCCAACAGCUGCAACCACACUGGCUCCAAAAAAGUCUGAACCCAACUUUUGAAGAGGGAUGCACCUUCCAUGUCUGCCUCUCCUUGGGAGAGAAGAUGAAAUAUUUCCAUCUUCACUGACAAGGACUUCUGGCAAUUUGGAUGAAUGAUGCCAAGAGAAGAAAGCAACCAGCUUAUAAACUUCCUAAGGAAGCAAAUUUCAAAAGAAACCCCAAACAUCACGAAUCACAAGCUGCUUUGUUUUCUUAUUCAUGACCUUCAUCUACCUUCCCUUUCAUCAAGUAAAUGGAAAUGUGUCAUUCUGAUUAACGGUGAUUGCUUCCUUGUCAUACAUCAACUAAAAUGAGAUGUUUCACCAUCAGAUUUAAGGGGACAUGGGCAUAUAUUUAAGAGGUCUGCCUGUCCAAUGUGGUGUGAGUCUUAUUUUGCAUGAAACCUAUUGGAGAAAUUAAUAAAAAGGUACAUUAUAUAUGUUUUAAAAAGCUUAUUAGUUGUAAAAUAAUACAGAUACAAAAAACUGCAUUAAAUAAAUGCUUAGUUUAAUAAACUAUUAUAAGGUCAACACUUUGUAACCAUGACCCAAAUCAAGACAAAGAAAUCUGCCAGACACCUCAUAAACCCUCUAUACAAUCAUUUUAACAACAAUUCCCUUCCCUACACCCUCAAAAGUAAUCUUUGUCCUCACUUUUAUGGCAAUCGCUUCUGAGCUUUCCUUUACAGUUUUAUCACCUGAUUAUACAUCCCUAUAUUUCAUUUCCCCUGUUAUUUUUAUGUCUCUAUUAGUCUACAGGUUACCCUUUGGUCUCUCCACAUUUGUUUCUCAUGUAAUUUAUUUGUUGAAGAAAACAAGUGUGUCCUAUAGAGUUUCUUACUAUCUGGAUUUUGCUGAUUGCAUCUCUGUGGAUCUACUGGAUUGAUCAUUGGGUUUAAUUUUUGGCAAGACAACUAUAGAGAUAUUAAUAGUAUUGUAUUCUUCUAUCACAGCCAUGUGAUGUACGGUUGUGUCUUUACUUAUGAUAACAGCAAAUGUACAAUGCCUAGAUCUAUUAAUUUAUCUGAGUUGCAAAAUAGUAAUAUUCUAAUUUAAUCAUUCUUCAUUUAGUUAUUAGUUGAAAUAAUUCUAUAAAGAUAAAAUUCACUCAUCUACUGCUUGGUUAUCAGGGAUGAAACUCAUAUAGAAAAGACAGAUUAUUUUUUGCCCUCAUUAUUUACCAGUUUAAAAAAUAAGUGGUUAUUAUUUUCAAAAAUGACAAAUUAUUUUCUAUCCUUAUGAAUUCAUAAAUUUAAACAUAUUUAUUGAGCUUCAGUUCACCGAAAAUAUUAUCCUUACUGAACAUAAAUUGUCUGAUCUUUGUCCAGUGGGAAAAUCAUUAGUUCCUUUGUCCUUUUGACAUAAUCCUAAUAGUUUUCUAGCUUCCUUGCUAACGAGGUAUGUGUAUGACACAAUCUCCUAGGCUCAUCUUGUACAAAUUCUGCCCAGACCUAGAAUCCUCUAAUUUCCCAAGAAUAGCUGUUUUCUUUUAGUGGGAAAUAGUAUUUCAAGAUCAUAAUCUGGGUCCUAGAGAUGUCAUUGCUAUUGGGUUGCUUUCUCUUUCUAAGCCUUUUCAGUACACGAGUAUGAACUCACAAUGUAUAUGAUACUUCCAAUUUAAAUUCAGUACCACAGGAUUUUUACUUGACCUUUUCUACCUGGCAUUUAUAUUUACUUUCUUCCAUGCCAGAAUACUGAUUCUAGAGAACACAGGGGAUUCAAGAAUUAGAAAAUCACAUAAUUGCCCAUGUGAUUUAUUUCAUUAUAUAUGAAACAGACUCAGCAUUAGCAAUUCUUCUACUAUAAAUAUAUAUAGCACUCAGUAUCAAGCUGUAUGUUAAUAACUCUCUAGUUAAUUUGGUUUAUUGGAAUUUACUCUCACUAAAUUCCUCAGAAAAAGCUCAUGGGAAAAAUAUUCUCCAAGUCAUUGAGUUUGCCUGAGCCCUUCAUGUGAAUGUCAAUUUAGUUGGAUAUAAAAUUUUUAGCUCACACAUCUUUCCUUAAUUAUCUUAAAUAUAUUAUUCUAUUUCCUUACAGUAUAAAGCAAUGUUGUAGGAAAGUCUACUGAAAGCCUGAUAUUGUCUAUUAUAAGUGAUUUGAUCUUUUUGCCUGGAUGCCUAAAUUUUUGUUUUUCUUCAAAGUCUAAUAGUUUUAUUAACUUUCUCUCAGUGUUGGUUAUUUUGGGUCAGUUUCCUUAGUUAUGUGGUGUGUAAUUUCAAUAUGUAAUUUAAACAAUUGUUUUGGGAAACUUUUGAAAUUAUAGUUUUGGGUAUUUUUUUGUUCCCUCAUUUUGAUUUUCUUUGGAGCCCUUAUUAUACGUAUGUUGGAUCUCCUUUGACUGCCUUCUAAAUUUGUCACUUUCCCUCAAAUCCUUAAAAAAAUUUCCAUUUUUAUCCUUUCUGAGUGAUAUAACUUCAUUUAUAAAUCUUCCUAAUUUGGAAUUAUGUAUUUUUCCACAUCAUGUGACAUUUUCUUAGGUUUUUUUUUUAGCUUGUUAGAAAUAGUGGGUUGUAGUUUUUAUUUGAAGGGGGAUGGGCCUGUAUUAGUAGCAUUUUUAAAUUUUUUGUGAAGCUAUUUUACUCUUUAUUAUUUUUUAAAUAAGAUUAUACCUAUGUCUUAGUACAUUUUGUGUUGCUGUUACAGAAUACCACAGACUGGAUAAUUUAUAAUGAAGAAAAAUUUAUUGGCCCACAGUUCUGAAGGCUGGAAAGUCCAAUAUCAAGUUGUCAGCAUCUGGCAAGAGUCUUCUUGCUGCAUCUUGACAUGGUAGAAGAGCAAAGAGAGAGGGAAAGGAGGCUGAACUUUCCCUUUUAUAAGAGCAUAGUCCCCCUUAAAUUGAGUUAUUUAUUAAAGGUCCUACUACUUAAUAUUGUUAUAAUGGCAAUUAGUUUCAACACAAGUUUUGGAAGUGACAAAUACUCAAACCGUAGCAACUGUGAUCUUUUCCUGUUGCCCAUUUCUAUGUAAAAUUUGCUCUUUUAAACUUUUUUUAUUUUUUGAGACAGAGUUCCACUCUUGUCACCUAGGCUGUAGUGCAAUGGUGAGAUCUCAGCUCACUGAAGCCUCCGCCUCCUGGGUUCAAGCAAUUCUCCAGCCUCAGCCUCCUGAGUAGCUGGGAUUACAGGCUCCCACCACCACUCCCAGCUAAUCUUUUGUAUUUUUAGUAGAGACGGGGUUUUGCCAUGUUGACCAGGCUGUUCUUGAAAUCCUGACAGGUCAUCCACCUGCCUCAGCCUCCCAAAGUGCUGGGAUUACAGGUAUGAGCCAACACGCUCAGCAUCUUUUCAACUUUUAAUCGGGAUAUAGUUCAGUAUAGUUUUACUAACUUUUCCAACUUUAGGCUUUACAGCACCUUCUCCUUUCGUUUUCAUGCAGUUUUCAAAACAUACAGCAGCUUGUUCUCUGAGAUCUCUUACCUCUAGGCACUUCUUCCACUUUUAUCUUUACCUUCUCUUUCCCUUGUCUUUAUACUGCUCAGUUUGGGUCCUGCUCUCAACAGUUUGUCCUCAGUGAGUGACUACCCUGGAAGGAAGUUUCAAAUGUUCAAGAAACCCAGACCAUUCCACUCCUUUAGAUCUUACUGUUAACUCUUUUUAUUCACCUGCUAGUAGAGUACACAAAGCCUCUCCCAGUUUUGGCUACUUUCCAUUGAGUACAUGUUGGACAUUUGGGGAUCCUGAGGCAUGUCAACUGCUUUGUUUCUCCCCUUAGCUUCCUCCUGCUAAAUUAUGGCUGAUAUAAUGUGGGCCCUUGUUGCUAUUAAUGAUUUGUCUCCCCAAAAUCAUAUUUUUGUCAAUUUAAUUUGUUAAUGACAUUCAUGUGUUUUGGUUUUGCUAUCUUUUUGCUCUAUUUUUUAAAAAAAUUGAGGAUAUUUAAAACUUCUUCUGCCACUGCCACAAUAUUCCAAGAUAUUUAUAUUUUUGUAUGUUAUUGAUAUAGUAAUACAAAUUGAAAUAUAGUAU